GUAAGAUUAGAUGGCCAAGGAGGUGUCACAAUUGAUUUCCAUUGGGGGGUCAGAUUAGAUGACCGUCCCAGGGGUUCAGACUAGAUGCCCAUUGAGGGUCAGAUUCGAUGACCAUUGGGCGGUCAGACUAGAUCACCAUUGGGGGUCAGACUAGAUGACCAUUGGGGGUCAGAUUAGAUGACCAUUGGGGGUCAGACUAGAUUACCAUUGGGGGUCAGACUAGAUGUCCAUUGGGGAGUCAGACUGGAUGGCCAUUGGGGAAUCAGAUGAGAUGACCACUAGGGGUCGGACUAGAUGAUCACUGGGGGGUUGGACAACACCAUUGGGAGGGUCAGAUUAGAUGUCCAUUGGGGGGUCAGAUGAGAUGCAAACUGAUUCCACCAAAAUCUCAAAAUUAUACUUCCCUACUGAAGCCCAAACACAUACUGAUAACAAAAGGGAGUCUUGUGUCUGAACAUGCUCAGUACACACCAAACUACACGACACUCAUGUCUCUCUUGUGUUUCUGCAGCCAAAGUGGCCUCUCUGGAGGACCAGCUGAAGAUGCUGCGGCUCCAGACCCAAGUGGACCAGGAUGCUGCCGCUGCAGAGAUCCAUCGCCUGCAGGACAAGGCCAACCGAGCUGAGCAGGAGGCCAAGGACUGCCAGUUGGCGAAGCUGCAGGUCCAGACCCGGGAGGAGAAGUACCGGGCGCUGGAGUCCAAGGUGGUGGCCGAGCUGCGGCCGGUCCAGCAGAGCCUGGAGGAGGCCGUGCGCCGGGCCUUCCUCCCGGAUCAGUUCCGGAGCUGCUACCAGUUGGCGGACGUCUGCGCGGGCCUGUCCGGCAGCCUCCAGGGCCACCUGACCGCCUUGUCCAGGCAGGUGGAGCAGAAGGUGGCCGAGGUGGCGGCCCAGAACGGGCGCCUGGAGGGCGAGAAAGCGGACUGCGGGCACCGGCUCCAGGACAAGGAGCGCCAAGCGGCGGCCCAGCGCGAGCAAGCCGAGCGGGAGAAGCAGGCCCUGCGCGAGGCCCACACCCAGGCCGCCCAGAAGGCCGAGGCCGAGCGCAGCCGGGUGGCCAAGGAGAAGGAGGAGCUCCAGGCGCAGCUCGAGCACAGCAAGCAGGCCUGCCUGCGCUCCAGGCCCUCUCUGAUGAACCCGGGCCUCGGACCAGGGAGGUUUCCCCCCUCAUCCGGCAACACCAACCCUUUUGGCAGCUUCCCAGGGGGCUCUCCUCCGAACCUGAACCCGGGGGGCGCCCCCAUGGUGCCCAACACCUUUGGCCACCCGCCUCCGUGGCCGCGGCCUGGACAGCCCAGCUCCGGAUCCCAGGGGUCUCCGAACCUUCCUGGUGAGUGACGCGACAACAAAGGGAUUCCUUCCUUUCCCUUGAACCUUAUAUCCUGACCGUGCUUCCUCUCCGUUUCAGAGCGGCCCAAGAUGUUGACCCCGGACGCGGCGGCCAGGAUCCCCAACCCACCCCCGGUUGGCCACCCCAGGUAAGGUCCAGAUCCCUCCUUUUGGGAUCCCGCUAGAUCCCUUUUGCAGGCGUUUUCUUGGUUCCUAGAAAAGUUUAGGAUGGGGAGAAGUACCGGAGACUGGUCAGUAGGCUCGUGCAUUGUGGCUGUGCCGGAAUCCGAUUAUCCAGUAGACUCGCUCCCGCCUCCCCGAAUCCGUUUUCAUGUGCCUCCCGAAAACGGGCAGUCGGAAAAUCCUUUCCUUAGACAUAGAGUCAGUAGGCUUGUGCAUUGUGGCCGAACCACGAUCCAUUUUGGGUUGCCAGAUUUCUGUUAUUAUAAUACUGAUAUAUUAAUAAUAAUAGCAAUAAUAAUAGUAAUAAUAAUUGAGAGCUGGGUUUUCAUAUAUGGAGACUGGUCAGUCGUAGGAAAUGAUAUACUAAUAAUAAGCAGACAAAGAAUCAGUACAAGAAAACCGCACUACAAACUAGAGCUGACAGCUGGCACCACAAAACAUUGCAUGGAAAGUUCCUUGACAAAGUGUUGUCGAAGGCUUUCAUGCCGGGAUCACAGGGUUGUUGUAUGUCUUUUGGGCUGUAUGGCCAUGUUCCAGAAGUUCCUUGACAAAAUUGAAGGAAAAGCUGAUAAGGAGAAGACCUGGCUCUGGCUCACGAAUGGGACCCUGAAGAAGGAGACACAAGGCCUGAUCCUUGCAGCCCAGGAGCAAGCCAUUAGAACAAAGGCCAUUAAUAAUAAUAAUAAUAAUAAUAAUAAUAAUAAUAAUAAUAAUAAUAAUAAUAAUAAUAAUAUAGAAGACCUGGCUCUGGCUCACGAAUGGGACCCUGAAGAAGGAGACAGAAGGCCUGGUCCUUGCAGCCCAGGAGCAAGACAUCAGGACAAAGGCCAUUAAUAAUAAUAAUAAUAAUAAUAAUAAUAAUAGAAGACCUGGCUCUGGCUCACGAAUGGGACCCUGAAGAAGGAGACAGAAGGCCUGGUCCUUGCAGCCCAGGAGCAAGACAUCAGGACAAAGGCCAUUAAUAAUAAUAAUAAUAAUAAUAAUAAUAAUAGAAGACCUGGCUCUGGCUCACGAAUGGGACCCUGAAGAAGGAGACAGAAGGCCUGGUCCUUGCAGCCCAGGAGCAAGACAUCAGGACAAAGGCCAUUAAUAAUAAUAAUAAUAAUAAUAAUAAUAAUAGAAGACCUGGCUCUGGCUCACGAAUGGGACCCUGAAGAAGGAGACAGAAGGCCUGAUCCUUGCAGCCCAGGAGCAAGACAUCAGGACAAAGGCAAUUAAUAAUAAUAAUAAUAAUAAUAAUAAUAAUAAUAAUAAUAAUAAUAAUAAUAGAAGACCUGGCUCUGGCUCACGAAUGGGACCCUGAAGAAGGAGACAGAAGGCCUGAUCCUUGCAGCCCAGGAGCAAGACAUCAGAACAAAGGCAAUUAAGGCCAAGAUCGAAAAAUCAGC
rnacentral:lncRNA from 11 species